rnacentral:rRNA from 1 species
GAUGAACGCUGGCGGCGUGCUUAACACAUGCAAGUCGAACGGAAAGGCCCAAGCUUGCUUGGGUACUCGAGUGGCGAACGGGUGAGUAACACGUGGGUGAUCUGCCCUGCACUUCGGGAUAAGCCUGGGAAACUGGGUCUAAUACCGGAUAGGACGAUGGUUCGGAUGCCAUUGUGGAAAGUUUUUUCGGCGUGGGAUGAGCUCGCGGCCUAUCAGCUUGUUGGUGGGGUAAUGGCCUACCAAGGCGUCGACGGGUAGCCGGCCUGAGAGGGUGUACGGCCACAUUGGGACUGAGAUACGGCCCAGACUCCUACGGGAGGCAGCAGUGGGGAAUAUUGCACAAUGGGCGCAAGCCUGAUGCAGCGACGCCGCGUGGGGGAUGACGGCCUUCGGGUUGUAAACUCCUUUCGCUAGGGACGAAGCGUUUUUGUGACGGUACCUGGAGAAGAAGCACCGGCUAACUACGUG